GACAGCAGCAGGCAGCAGAAGAACACCCAGGCUGUCCUCCUGCAGAGCUAGCAGCAACACCAUGAAGGGCAGCUUGUGGCCCAGCAGUAACUGGAGGCCCAAUGCGGCUGGGGGGAGCGCUGUCCGCAGUUCCUGGAGCUUGUCCUGCACUCGUCUGCUGCAGUGCUGAGGAAGUAAACCUGAAUCAAGGUGACAGGUCACUGGAUGCAAAGAGGAUGGAGUAUUCAGAAAAAUGGGCUAGACCAAUCAGGGAUUCCCUAGACAUUCGAGAGAUUCCCUGGUGAUCUGUUUCCAGCGUGGGGUUCCAUUAACAAACAAGACUCCCAAAAGGGGAAUGUUACUGAGAAUUUCCACAGUGUGAAGUCUCCUUAACUGGGCAAGAAGGGGGAACUGAGGCAGUGGACAAGCCCACAGGUAUAACUGAGAUCAGAAUUAGGCCCUGUAAGUGGAACUUCCCUAAGAAGUCUAUUGGUAGAUGCCAGGAAAUAGACUCUGUCUCACUCUCCCAGAGCUGUAUUGGUUCAUUAGUGCUAACAGCAGUAAAAAGUAGCAAACUUGAUUUAAGGCAAUAAAGCAAGCAAAAUUUGGCAUAGAACAGCUCUGUGGAGUAAGAAAGGGACUUUUUCAUAACUUUUCAGGUUUUCAGAGCAGACUACACUUUACAUGGUACUUUGUCAGGCAGGCUAGUUGUGUAUUGCUUGCCGUAUGUCCUGUUACAGCAACUAACAUCCUUAUAACUGGAGCUGCUGACCAUCAUCGAAUAUAAUCUCAGGAGGACAAGGGACUGGUUCAAGUUCCUCAACCAUCCUAACUUCAGUACUGGCCUCUGCAACUUCUUUUCCCUGCCUGACUCUCUCCUGAGGGAAACAUCUGCCUUGAAUGAAUAUCAAGUUUUUGCUUUUUCACCCACCCACUCCCAAUAACUGCCUGUCUUCUUCAGCAGGACCCACCUAUAGCCAAGAACAGACUCUGAUCUUGGGGCUCUGACAAUGAGCUCAAACCCUAAACCUUCAUGAAAGCCUCUUAUCAACUCUGGACCCAAGCCCCAGGGAGAGAUAGGCCUGUCUGAGGAACUCAUCCAGCAUAUUAUCUGAACUGCCUUCAAACCUUACACCACAUGUGAUCGGAGGCAACCACCCACUCAGGGGCACAACCAGAACUUUUCUAAGGAUGGGUCCCAGGGAGAAGAUGUCUCUCUAGUAGAGCACCUGUCCUCGGGUGGAGAAGAUGUUGAAGCUCAGAGUACCACUUGGGUAUGGCUUACAGAAGGCAGAGCCAGCUGCUGGCAGGGAAGGAAGCGCUGGGACGUGCCAAGCCUGGACUGCCAGUGUCAGGGUCAGAUGCAGUCUGGAGAGUGCGGGGGGAGUACUGUGCAGGCCCAGAGCUCCAGCGCCUCAUGGAAAGCCCCAGACCUCCCUCCCCACUGCUGCCCCACUGUGGGCAGGGGGCUCAAGAAAGUACCAGGUCCUCCCCUCCUAGCCCACCUUGCUGGGAGUCCAGCAGGGGCUCCCCCACUAAUGGGCUGGGGUGCCUGCAUCCCUGCUUGUCUCCUGUGUUGGUGGCAGGUCCCCAGCUGCAGGGCCACGCCACGUUGCUCUCUGGGGAACGGCCAGGAGGCGAAGCAGCGGCUGCUGGGUUUCUGCUUAAACCUGGCCUUUCCCCCCUGCAGAUGGUACAUCUGCACUCCUAGUCCUCUAUAGCAAUGAGUUCAACCUCUGUUUUCCCAAAGCACACUCUAGAGCAGUGCUAUUCAAAGCGGUGGUCCAUGGACCGGUGCCAGUCCGCGAGCACAUUUGGGGAAAAAAAAAAAAUUGCCGGUCUCCCACAUCAGAUAACGUGAGAAGUACUGCUCUAGAGGACACCGAUGCCUCAGAACAAACCCUCCCCAAGAACUGCGAGCGAUUCCUCCCACAAGUUGCCCAACCUUUGCCUGCUUCAGAGCAAAUGGCUGAGCUCCACAGUCUGCUAGACCUUUGAGCUGACUACCUCUUAAGAAGGCUUGAAGUUUAAAUGUUCCAGGCCAAACUGAGAUGCCCUUUCUUGCACUGAGUGGCAUCUUGCUCUGUGAGUAGCCUCCCUGAAACCAACAGGACUAAUUAGGGAGUAGCGUACCACUCAGUGUGAGUACGGGCAUCAGGACUUCCCAAGAUAAACUUUUUAUUUGGGGGGUGGUGGUCUGCCUUCUCCCCAAAGUAGCUUCACAAGGGAAAGUACAUUCUCCCCAGUGCUGCCUCACUUCUAUCCCUCCCUUUUGGAUUUUUAAUUUGAUUUGGAACAUAAACAGUGACCGAGCAAGAUCUGAUGACGUAUCUUGGGGCAGAAGACCAAGGUUGCAUUUAAUAAACUAUCGCUGCUCUUGGCAAAAGCAACACUAAAUCCUGCCCAGCAGACAGUGUAGCUAGCCAGAGCUGGUGCGUUGGCGUGGCGACAGCAGAUUCUCUCCCAUCUAGUAGGGAGCCAGGUUCAAGGGUUUAAAUAAUCAAGUUUCAAGCUCUGGCACGGAGUGUCUCACACAGGACAGGUUCAGGCUUCCCAGGGGGCUGCCCACCUCUCUGAGUGGCAGGGACGGAUGUCAAUCUGUGAAGUGGUAUUGCAUCAGCUCCAGAGAGAGAGAGAGAUGUUCGCUGGAACUGGCAGCUGCCUUUUGUUCCACAAUGGCAGCUGCCAGCAAGAGACAGACAGGGCAAGGGGAGACUAUAUAAUAGCAACGUGCUAGAUGCAAAGCGUAUUACACGCUAGAUUUAAAGUAAAAGAGUAUGUGUUGGGGUAAAUAUUCAGCGCAACGCACAGUGACUUAGCCCCAUGACUCUUGUUACUGUUGGGGGGGGGAGGGCGCGUGGGUUACAUCACCCUUUGUCAUGCUGAAUGUUCUGCAAAUGCAAUAAAUAAAAAAAAUGGAGAUUUUAUACAAAUUUCAAUUAUAGAGGUGAGGGGGAGCUGACAUUUGACACAGACAUCCUCACCCACCUGACCAAGCUGAAAGGAGGGGAUUCUUCCCCCAUCCCCCCCCAAAGGAGGGACUGUGAGGUGAAUAUAUUAGGCUCCUUGUGUUUGCCCUUUCCUUUCAGGCCAUUAUUUUGCUUUCUUGUUUGUUUAUUUUUUUUGGCUGAGUUCAUUUAAAUGGAUUUAGUACAGGGCAACGGCUGUGGAGACUGAAUUUCCCCUCUUGAUAAGAUUGGCAUGCUGUUGGCAGUAAACGUUCCCCCUCCUUCUUACCCCCAACCUACCAGUGAGCAUCAACCCUAACCUGGAGGGACCAGCCCUAAGUUGGUGCAGGUAGCUAAUUAUUAGGUACUUGUAUUGCAGUAGCACAGA